rnacentral:rRNA from 1 species
UACGUAGGGUGCAAGCGUUAAUCGGAAUUACUGGGCGUAAAGCGUGCGCAGGCGGUUUUGCAAGCCGGAUGUGAAAUCCCCGGGCUCAACCUGGGAAUGGCAUUCGGGACUGCAAGGCUGGAGUGCGGCAGAGGAGACUGGAAUUCCUGGUGUAGCGGUGAAAUGCGCAGAUAUCAGGAAGAACACCCGUGGCUAAGGCGGCUCUCUAGUACGGUACUGACGCUGAGACGCGAAAGCGUGGGGAGCGAACAGG